AUACGGAGGGUGCAAGCGUUAUCCGGAAUCACUGGGUUUAAAGGGUCCGUAGGCGGGCUAAUAAGUCAGGGGUGAAAUCCCACAGCUUAACUGUGGAACUGCCCUUGAUACUGUUGGUCUUGAGUUACAGUGAAGUGGUUAGAAUGUGUAGUGUAGCGGUGAAAUGCAUAGAGAUUACACAGAAUACCGAUUGCGAAGGCAGAUCACUAACUGUAUACUGACGCUAAUGGACGAAAGCGUGGGGAGCGAACAGGAUUAGAAACCCUAGUAGUCC
rnacentral:rRNA from 1 species